GCCAUCAAUUCAAAGCUGACAAUGCUACCAACAGCUACCAAAUCUACCAACCUGCAUAGGACAGCUGAAAUAACGCAUCACAUAUUAAUUACAUUCACGGAAUAGUAAAGAACGUAAAGAAGCAAAGCACUCGCGGUCGUAUUGGAAGUUGUCUGUGUGUUAUCAGCAGUAUAUUUUUGUUCUCGUACUGUUAAACAAGUCACCGCCGUGAAAGCCUCAAAUCUUACAAGCAUUCCAGUACGGAUCAACAACAAUGGCGUUAAAGAAAGGAGGAUCAUGAUGGACGUCACCCUGCUUCCAAGAGAGCGAGACUGUUGUGGGUGGAAGAUGCUCAAGAAUCUGUUUGAUUGCUUGGUAAUAGCACCAGUAGUGCACAUUCAAAUUUACCGCUAAAUGAUAAAAGGGAUCAUAAGGAUUAUGAUGUCCUGGUCUUAUAUACUGACAAAGACCUUCUGUGGGAGACAGUUGAGUUAUUUAUUAUAUGAUUUGAAGUUGUAAAUAUCUAGUUAUGUAAACAGAAACCAAUAGUCUGUUCUUUUUCUAGAACACUGACAUAUGUCAGAACUAGUUGGAAGUUGCAUGAUUAAAAGAAAUGUUGCCCUGUGCUUAAUUAGUUAAGCACUGUGACAUAAAGACAUAUGAGGGGAGUGGAGGUAUAUUUCCACCAUUCUUGACCUGAGCACUAGAUGGAGUCAAGCGGUCAGCUUCACCCGCAGAAGUGGUUUAUUAGUACAUCAACUUCCACUCUUAAGAGAGAUUAAAAAGCAGGAAUAUUCAGAGGACCCAGUAUGAGUGUACUCAGUGUCAGCGUGAAGGAAGAAAUGGCAGGCAGUAUGUAUGUAUGUUUGGUGUUGAGCUACCAGAUGUGCCAGAUACACAUGAGUAUAGCUUUGGUUGGCAGCGUUACAUUCGUAUCAGAAGUAGAAUGUAUACCGCCUACAAAGGCAAAAGUCUGAGGGGAUUUACCCAAAUUGUUUAAGAGCAAAUUACAUGAAUGUAAUGUUACGAUAGCAUUAGGAGUGCACAGGUGUGCUUGCUUUGAACUUCCUCAUCUAACAUGUCAGUUUCAAAACAAGGUGCAUUAAGAAAUGCAGUCUUCAACAGUGCACAAAAUUUGUUGUAAAUUAAGAAGAUGAAAUCAGAUAAGGAAUAAUCGGAAGUAUUACUCACACACUCUUUCCCUUCACUAGAGUUUGAGUAUCUGAUGCAAUAACUGGAAACCCACUUAGUAUGUAUGGAUAAUGAACCCAAUAAAAUAACAGUAAAAACUGGGCUUUGUGGACACUAUCCAUCAUAGUGCUUUUUUUAUUUAAAACAAUAUUUUGGACACUGGAAUCUGCCUCAAUCCUCAGAUAGGCCUAAAUCUAGCUCCUGUGUCCAGGUACUAGGGCGAACACAAGGCAGGGAUAUGAGCCAAAUGUUCAUAACCCAUCUGUGGGAGGAGAACUGAGGAAGAGUCUAGUCUCCGAAACUGUGUUUUAAAUAAAAUAAUUAUCUCAGCAUGGAGGCAGCAUGCAGUCUCUGAUCCAUUGCUGUAAAAGAAAACCAGGACAAUGGAUAAUGUUCAAAAUAUUAAUAACUCUGUUAAUACACCAUAGUCACAAACUUUAUAAUUCUAUUUUUGCUCUCAGAAUCAGGUUAUUUUAUUGCAAGUCUGCCAUUUCUUAUCAUAUAUAUGUAUUAUUUCAGGCAGAACCUUCUUGCAGGAACACUCAGAUGUGUCAGUUGCAUGACUUAAGAAAAAUGUUGUCCAUAUACUUGAUCAGUUAAGCACUGUGCCACAGAAACCUAUGGGGGCAUGGAGUCUAGUUCCACCAUUCUUGACCAUGGCACUAGAUGGAUGUGUGUGGUCACUUUCACUCCCCUCCUGAUUUAUCUCCAGUACAGACUGGACAGGAGGCUGAGAUGGGGGCUUUGAGAACUGUUGCUUAUCAGAAUGAGAAUUGUUACGUACACAGAACCACUGUGUUGCAUUGGGAACAUUGCAAACUAGAAUUUCGAAAGCUGCUGCUGAUUUGUCUGCUUCAGUAAUUAAAUGAUUAUUUGAAAUGCAUUCAUGUUGUAAGAUAUAGGUAUAAUGGUCACAUGUAUGAAUUCUGUGUUGUAUUGUAUUGUAUUUAUUUGCACGCUCCAACACAUCCUUACAUGGCCGAAGCCCUUGGAUACCGAACCGGUCUCACAACAGGCCUGCUAAGUAGCAGGUAGUCACUAGAUAAUAUAUAUACAACAAUAUUAACAUGAUAUUAACUUAAUACCCUUAUAUGUACUACAAUUACAUCACAUUUACAAUAUAAUUACAUUAUAAUUUAAAUAUAAAUAAAUAACAUAAACACUCAAUAACAAUCCUAGUUAAAAUAUUCAUCCAAAGUAUAAUAAGAUUUACGAUGUAAAAAGGCAUGUAAAGCCACUCUAAAUUGCUUAAUAUCACAGACCAAUUCUUUAAUCUUCAAUGGAAGAUGGUUAAAAAGUUUAAUGCCAGAAUAAUAAGGACCUUUCUGGUAAAUUGUUAAAUUUGCCUGAGGACAAUAGAGAUCAAAAUUACGCCUCAUUUUCAGGCCAUGAAUUUGCGUUGACUUAUGAUACAAGCCCAUAUUAUUCACAACAAACAUCAAUAAUGAGAAAAUAUAUUGCGACUGCAACGGCAAUAUUCCCCAUUCCCUAAAUGCCUCUCUACAAGAGUCUCUAGGUCUCAACCCACUCAUGACUCUGAUUAUACUCUUUUGAAUUCUAAAAAUAUGCACACUAAGGGGUGAAUUACCCCCAAAAAUAAUUCCAUAGCUCAAUAGUGAAUGAAAGUAGGAAUAAUACACCAUUUUUAAUGUCUCAAUGGGCAAGAUGGGUUUAAUCACCCUCAUUGAAUAACAAGCCUUACAUAAUUUAGGCCUAAGCUGAGUUAUAUGAGCUUUCCAAGUGCACGAUCUUUCUAUAACAAUCCCCAAAAAUUUCAUGUUUAUAUCAUUUAAAAUCUCAUUAUUACAAUAUCGAAUAGAAGUUACAUUAUUCGUUCUAGGCUUUGCCUCAAAUUGAACAUGUUUAGUUUUAUUCAAAUUUAAGGUCAACCUGUUUGUACUAAACCACUCAUUAAGACAAGUGAAAGAGGUUUUAACAUCUUUACUAUACUGGCUAUUAUUCGAACUGCUAAUGACUAAGCUUGUAUCAUCUGCAUACAAUACUGAUUUAACUGAAUCAUUGAAAAUUGUGGGGAGAUCAUUUACAUAAAAAAGAAAAAGAAGCGGACCAAGGACGGACCCUUGUGGGACUCCGUAUCUUACAGUAUCCCAGUUAGAUCUAGCAGCAUGAUCAAAGUCAGUGCUGGCUAUUAAUACUCUCUGUUUUCUGUCUGAUAAAUAGGAUGUGAUCAGGUCGAGAAAUUUGCCUCGUAUUCCAUAAAAUUGAAGUUUCUUCAAUAAAAUCUCACGGUUGACACUGUCAGAUGUCUUCUUUAAGUCACAAAAGAUUCCACCUACAAUUUCCCACUUAUUUAAUGCUUCUAAUAUUUCAUUUAUUAACACAUAAGAAGCUAUAGUUGUUGAAGAUUGCCUUCUAAAUCCAAACUGUUCAUUAGCUAUAAUAUUAUAGUCAUGAAUAUGUUGUUCAGUAGCUAGGAAUUUUAUUGUUUAGCAAGCAGACCUAGGUUUGUUGUGGGCACACAGUGGCUUUAUUUUGGCUAAACUGACCAAGAAACAAUUAGGGAUUUUUUCCUGGGGUUUCUUUUCUUUGGUUAAGUUUAAUUUUUCCCUGUUGUUAAUCACUUAAACACUGCAUAACAAAGACAUGUGUUGGAUGGAGGUGAGUUGUCAGCUUCAUGCCCUGGCCACUUGACCACAAGGUAAAGAGCUCCAGUACCCAGGGUGAUCCCUGCAGCUGGCCUGGACACUGCAGAAGGAAAUAUUCCUUGCCCCAGUCGGGAACCAGUUGAGCUCUCUUGACCCGUUUGAUUUCUUUAAAUCAUUUUAUAGUUGUGGCAACAUGACAUGUUUAUUGUCUGGAAAACGGAAGAAAUGAAAAUAUUCAAAAGGGAAUAUUCGUAUACA